rnacentral:lncRNA from 1 species
AGCAAGAGUAAGAAGUAUUGGCAGCAGCAAGCAGGCGGGCAGGCUGAGAUCUUGCAUGGAAAUCAUGAACCAGGUCUUGCUUUUCGUUUUUGAAACGUUUUGGAAGGAGAGUUAUGAAUAGCCCAGAAAUAGGUCUCAUUUUGUGGGUAGGAAGAAUGACCAGAAGCAUGAAAGCUAAAUCUCCUGGCAAGUGCAGGGGACCUCUCUUGGAGUGUGCAGUAAACCCGAGGGGACGACUUCUCCUGCUGUCAACUCCUGAACCAUCACAUCUGGAGUGAAGGAAGGGGCUGGUGAAGCCUUGUAAUAAAUGCAAAGGAUGCUGCUGAGAGCUUUGGUCUGCCUUUAACUCAUUGUGCAUCCGCUACAGCUGUUUUCAUCAUUAUAAAAGGAGAGCCAGCACUAGCCAGCAGAGGAAGUUUCUGGGCAAAGUUGGACAUCCCAAAGAUGGCGUAGAUGAACAUGACGAGGAAAAGCAGGAGGCCGAUGUUGAACAGCGCAGGAAGGGACAUCAUCAGAGCAAAGAGCAGCGUGCGGAUCCCCUUGGCGCCUUUGAUCAGGCGUAGGAUUCGUCCAAUCCUGGCCAGGCGAAUGACUCGGAACAGGGUAGGAGACACGAAAUACUUCUCUAUCAUCUCAGCGAGAAACAUUCCUGUAUUGGAGGGAAAAAUAAACAGAAAUGUUUAAAGAUCCA